rnacentral:sRNA from 1 species
GCCGGGCACAGUAGCGCAUGCCUGUAAUCCCAGUGCCUCCGGAGGUUGAGGAAGGAGGAUUGUGAGUUCAAAGCCAGCCUCAGCAAUGGCAAGGUGCUAAACAACUCAAUAAGACCCUGUCUCUA